rnacentral:rRNA from 1 species
GUGGGGAAUAUUGGGCAAUGGGGGCAACCCUGACCCAGCAACGCCGCGUGAGGGAAGAAGGUUUUCGGAUUGUAAACCUCUGUCCUAUGGGAAGAAGGAAGUGACGGUACCAUAGGAGGAAGCCCCGGCUAACUACGUGCCAGCAGCCGCGGUAAUACGUAGGGGGCGAGCGUUGUCCGGAAUUACUGGGCGUAAAGGGUGCGCAGGUGGACUGACAAGUCAGAUGUGAAAUACCGAUGCUUAACGUCGGGGCUGCAUUUGAAACUAUGAGGCUGGAGUGCAGGAGAGUGAAGCGGAAUUCCUAGUGUAGCGGUGAAAUGCAUAGAUAUUAGGAGGAACACCAGUGGCGAAGGCGGCUUUCUGGACUGUAACUGACACUGAGGCACGAAAGCGUGGGGAGCAAACAGGAUUAGAUACCCCUGUAGUCC